UACGUAGGGUGCGAGCGUUGCCCGGAUUUAUUGGGCGUAAAGAGCUCGUAGGCGGUUUGGCAAGUCGGGUGUGAAAACUCCGGCUCAACUCGGAGACGCCACUCGAUACUGCUAUGACUCGAGUCCGGUAGGGGAGUGCGGAAUUCCUGGUGUAGCGGUGAAAUGCGCAGAUAUCAGGAGGAACACCGGUGGCGAAGGCGGCACUCUGGGCCGGUACUGACGCUGAGGAGCGAAAGCGUGGGGAGCGAACAGG
rnacentral:rRNA from 1 species